rnacentral:tRNA from 1 species
GGGCCUAUCGUCUAUCGGUUAGGAUAGCGCACUUACACUGCGCUGGGGGUGGUUCAACUCCGCCUAGGCCCA